AUACAGAGGGUGCGAGCGUUAAUCGGAAUUACUGGGCGUAAAGCGCGCGUAGGCGGCUUGGUCAGUCGGAUGUGAAAGCCCCGGGCUCAACCUGGGAAUGGCAUUCGAUACUGCCAGGCUAGAGUAUGGGGGAGGGAAGUGGAAUUUCCGGUGUAGCGGUGAAAUGCGUAGAUAUCGGAAGGAACACCAGUGGCGAAGGCGACUUCCUGGCCCAAUACUGACGCUGAGGUGCGAAAGCGUGGGGAGCGAACAGGAUUAGAAACCCUAGUAGUCC
rnacentral:rRNA from 1 species